AGACUGAACGCUGGCGGCAUGCCUUACACAUGCAAGUCGAACGGCAGGCGCGGGGGCAACCCUGGCGGCGAGUGGCGAACGGGUGAGUAAUAUAUCGGAACGUGCCCUGGAGUGGGGGAUAACGGUAGCGAAAGUUACGCUAAUACCGCAUACGAUCUAAGGAUGAAAGUGGGGGAUCGCAAGACCUCAUGCUCCUGGAGCGGCCGAUAUCUGAUUAGCUAGGUUGGUAGGGUAAAGCCUACCAAGGCAUCGAUCAGUAGCUGGUCUGAGAGGACGACCAGCCACACUGGGACUGAGACACGGCCCAGACUCCUACGGGAGCAGCAGUGGGAAUUUGGACAAGUGGGGCAACCCUGAUCCAGCAAGUGCCGCGUGAGUGAAGAGGCCUCGGUGUAAGCUCUUUGUCGAAGGAAGAACGGUCCUUAC
rnacentral:rRNA from 1 species